GGCACCAUGGGUUAGCUGGUUAAAGUUCCUGUUUUGUAAACAGGAGAUCCUGGGUUCAACUCCCAGUGAUGCCU